rnacentral:rRNA from 1 species
GGCUGCAACUCGCCUACAUGAAGUCGGAAUUGCUAGUAAUCGCGGAUCAGCAUGCCGCGGUGAANACGUUCCCGGGCCUUGUACACACCACCCGUCACACCAUGGGAGUCGGUAACACCCGAAGCCUGUAGUCUAACCGCAAGGGGGACGCAGUCGAAGGUGGGAUUGAUGACUGGGGUGAAGUCGUAACAAGGUACC